UACAGGGGGGGCAAGCGUUGUUCGGAAUUACUGGGCGUAAAGGGCUCGUAGGUGGCCAACUAAGUCAGACGUGAAAUCCCUCAGCUUAACUGGGGAACUGCGUCUGAUACUGGAUGGCUUGAGUUUGGGAGAGGGAUGCGGAAUUCCAGGUGUAGCGGUGAAAUGCGUAGAUAUCUGGAGGAACACCGGUGGCGAAGGCGGCAUCCUGGACCAACACUGACACUGAGGAGCGAAAGCCAGGGGAGCAAACGGGG
rnacentral:rRNA from 1 species